rnacentral:rRNA from 1 species
UACGUAGGUGGCAAGCGUUGUCCGGAUUUACUGGGCGUAAAGAGCGCGCAGGCGGUCGAAUAAGUCGAAUGUGAAAGCCCCCGGCUCAACUGGGGAGGGUCAUUCGAUACUGCUCGACUUGAAGGCAGGAGAGGGUAGUGGAAUUCCCGGUGUAGCGGUGAAAUGCGCAGAUAUCGGGAAGAACACCCGUGGCGAAGGCGGUUCUCUGGGACGGUACUGACGCUGAGACGCGAAAGCGUGGGGAGCGAACAGG